rnacentral:rRNA from 1 species
AGUGAACGCUGGCGGUAGGCCUAACACAUGCAAGUCGAACGGCAGCACAGUAAGAGCUUGCUCUUACGGGUGGCGAGUGGCGGACGGGUGAGGAAUACAUCGGAAUCUACUUUUUCGUGGGGGAUAACGUAGGGAAACUUACGCUAAUACCGCAUACGACCUACGGGUGAAAGCAGGGGAUCUUCGGACCUUGCGCGAUUGAAUGAGCCGAUGUCGGAUUAGCUAGUUGGCGGGGUAAAGGCCCACCAAGGCGACGAUCCGUAGCUGGUCUGGGAGGAUGAUCAGCCACACUGGAACUGAGACACGGUCCAGACUCCUACGGGAGGCAGCAGUGGGGAAUAUUGGACAAUGGGCGCAAGCCUGAUCCAGCCAUACCGCGUGGGUGAAGAAGGCCUUCGGGUUGUAAAGCCCUUUUGUUGGGAAAGAAAAGCAGCAGGUUAAUACCCCGCUGUUCUGACGGUGCCCAAAGAAUAAGCACCGGCUAACUUCGUG